GUCACCAAGGCAGCUGACCUAAACUGAACAAAAGGACAUCAUACCAUAUGAUGUCACAAUCAGCUUGGCAGGGGGAAGGAGAGGGGGAAGGAGGCCUCUCAUUUUAAAGAUAUCUGUUCUCCCAAACAACUGCUACAUGUCUUGAGGCUCUGCUUCCCAGAGGAAGAGGAUAAUAUUUGAAAUACUCUCUUGGAAUCAUUUCACCUGAUCACUCCAAAGUAUAUCAGACUAGCAGAUGGCAAGAGCCAUCAUAAAUGACUACAAAUCUAUUCUUUGCACUUUUAUGAUUCCAAGAACAUACUAUUUAUUCUGAUGAAUAAGAGGAGAAUAAAGUAGAGAGCUCUAGAAUAAAGUAGAGAGCUGGGGUAACUCCACAGAAAUCACUAAAGCUACAUGAAUGUUAUACUUGCAUGAGG